GAUGAACGCUGACAGAAUGCUUAACACAUGCAAGUCAACUUGAAUUUGGGUUUUUAACUUAGGUUUGGGUGGCGGACGGGUGAGUAACGCGUAAAGAACUUGCCUCACAGCUAGGGACAACAUUUGGAAACGAAUGCUAAUACCUAAUAUUAUGAUAAUAGGGCAUCCUAUAAUUAUGAAAGCUAUAAGCGCUGUGAGAGAGCUUUGCGUCCCAUUAGCUAGUUGGAGAGGUAACAGCUCACCAAGGCGAUGAUGGGUAGCCGGCCUGAGAGGGUGAUCGGCCACAAGGGGACUGAGACACGGCCCUUACUCCUACGGGAGGCAGCAGUGGGGAAUAUUGGACAAUGGACCAAGAGUCUGAUCCAGCAAUUCUGUGUGCAUGAUGAAGUUUUUCGGAAUGUAAAGUGCUUUCAGUNGGGAAGAAAAAAANGA
rnacentral:rRNA from 1 species